CCCUACGGGGCGCACCAGGCGCGAAACCUUCGCAAUGCGCGAAAGCGUGACGAGGUUAAUCCGAGUGGUCCCCGCUGAGGGGACCUUUUGUCAGCUGUAAAUAGGCAGGCGAAUAAGGGGAGGGCAAGCCUGGUGUCAGCCGCCGCGGUAA
rnacentral:rRNA from 1 species